rnacentral:rRNA from 1 species
AUGGCGACGGACUACUUUGAGUGGUCGUUGAUCAUGAAGGUGAACAUGGAGGCCCAACACAUGUGGGACGCCAUCGAGGGAGGCGGGAGCUUCAGCCGGGACAGGGCGGCGCUUGCGGCAAUUCUGCAAGCCGUGCCGCAGGAGAUGCACUCCACGCUUGCCUUGAAGGCGACGGGAAAGGAGGCAUGGGAUGCCAUCAAGAUCAUGCGGGUCGGCGAUGCCAGCGUCCGUGAGGCCAAGGCGCAGACUCUCCUAAUGGAGUUUGAUGCCGUCCGCAUCGUCCGCAUGAGGAGCGGCGAGACACUCGACGAGCUCGCCAUACGCAUGAACGGGAUCGCCGACAAGCUGCACACGCUCAUCGAGAACCUCGACGAGGUGAAGGUCGUGAAGAUGCUUCUCCGCAUCGUGCCGUCCAGGUAUACCCAGGUAGCUAUUGCCAUUGAGAAGCUUCUUGAUCUUAAAACCAUGUCCAUGGAAGAGCUUGUGGGAAGGCUCAAAACGGCGGAGGGCCGGAGCGACUUGGAUGAGGGCGCCAGCAACUAG